rnacentral:rRNA from 1 species
CCCAGACUCCUACGGGAGGCAGCAGUGGGGAAUAUUGCACAAUGGGGGAAACCCUGAUGCAGCGAUGCCGCGUGAGCGAUGAAGUAUUUCGGUAUGUAAAGCUCUAUCAGCAGGGAAGAAAAUGACGGUACCUGACUAAGAAGCCCCGGCUAACUACGUGCCAGCAGCCGCGGUAAUACGUAGGGGGCAAGCGUUAUCCGGAUUUACUGGGUGUAAAGGGAGCGUAGACGGCAAUGCAAGCCAGAUGUGAAAGCCCGGGGCUCAACCCUGGGACUGCUUUUGAAACUGUCAAACUAGAGUACGGGAGAGGUAAGAGGAAUUCCUAGUGUAGCGGUGAAAUGCGUAGAUAUUAGGAGGAACACCAGUGGCGAAGGCGUCGUACUGGACCGAAACUGACGUUGAGGCUCGAAAGCGUGGGGAGCAAACAGGAUUAGAUACCCCCGUAUA